AUUGAACGCUGGCGGCAUGCUUUACACAUGCAAGUCGAACGGUAACGGGUUAAGCUGACGAGUGGCGAACGGGUGAGUAAUGCAUCGGAACGUGCCCGGUCGUGGGGGAUAACGCAGCGAAAGUUGCGCUAAUACCGCAUACGAUCUGAGGAUGAAAGCGGGGGACCGUAAGGCCUCGCGCGAUCGGAGCGGCCGAUGUCAGAUUAGGUAGUUGGUGGGGUAAAGGCUCACCAAGCCAACGAUCUGUAGCUGGUCUGAGAGGACGACCAGCCACACUGGGACGGAGACAUGGCCCAGACUCCUACGGGAGGCAGCAGUGGGGAAUUUUGGACAAUGGGCGAAAGCCUGAUCCAGCAAUGCCGCGUGCAGGAAGAAGGCCUUCGGGUUGUAAACUGCUUUUGUACGGAGCGAAAAGGUCUCCUCUAAUACAGGGGGCUCAUGACGGUACCGUAAGAAUAAGCACCGGCUAACUACGUGCCAGCCGCCGCUGUAA
rnacentral:rRNA from 1 species